rnacentral:lncRNA from 1 species
GCCUCCCAAAGUGCUCGGAUUGUAGGUGUGAGCCACCGUGCCCAGCCCAAAAACUAUAACUCUUAUUUUGAACAAUUUUACCACAUUGGCCAGGCCUACCCCUUCCUUGGAGCAAUAAGGUUGUUGCAGGCCUUCUUGUUUUACUCUAGACUAGACCAGGAGUGGUUCUUGCCCAAACUGUUAGGUGUGAUGUUUGUGACAGAUUUCUAGUUUUCUUCUCCGAUAGAGAAAGAUUUAUUUUGUUCUAUUACCAUUCAAAUACUAUUAUGUAAUAUUUACUGAAGGCAUACUGUGUUCUGCAUAUUCUGUUAAGCACUGUAUUUCCAUAAUUUAUUUCUCAUAACUCUCAAUACCAUUAUUUCUCCCAUUUUACAGAUGAAGACACUGAGGCUCAGAGAGGUUAAGUGACUUGUCCAAGGAUACACAGCUGGGAAGUGGGAGUUGGGAUAGAAAUCAAUUCCUCACUGACACCAGUGCGUGUGCUGUAUAAUCUACUGCCUCUUAAGGUAGUUUACACUUUUUUUUUUUGAGACAGAGUCUCAACUCCUGACCUCAAGUGAUCCACCCACCUCAGCCUCCCAAAGUGCUGAGAUUACAGGUGUGAGCUGCCGUGCCUGGGCAAAAUUUUUUAAGAUAAGGAAUAUCUGUUAAAUUAGCAAAUUACUUUUUAGCAUAUAUUGAUAUAAACAUAUGAUUUAUUUCUCUUCAUUUAUUCAACCAGCAAAUAUUUAUGGAGAGCCUGUUGUAUGUUCUAGGCCCUGGGGAUGUGAAGGUGACCAAGUUAGAUCAAGUCCUUGACCUGCGGUUUGACGGUAGGCACCUCUGACUCAGCUGUGCCCCAUAACAUCUUCCUGUGAGCAAAGGGCUCCCCAGAGGCAGGUCACCUGUACCCUAAGAGGAAACAGCAGAAUGUUGCCGUCCGCGGCAGGAGAUCGCACUCGGCCCCUGGAAGUGGACCUCAGUGGGUGGCCUGCCCUGACAGGGAAGGGCGUGAGGGGGAAGGACAUGGCCCAGAGCAAGCCACAUGAGAAAAAUUACAAUAAAGUAUGGGACAUCCGCUGGGGACAGGGAGCAAGCAACAUGGGGCCACUGAGGGAAGGAGGUGACAAGGUGGGAGCCAAGGGACAGGGGUCCUGGGGUCUGAAUUUUCCUCAGCAAGCAAGUGGGAGCCAGCAAUGGUUGUAGAGCAGGAGAGUAGUGGGUCUGGACUCAUAGAGCAGCUUGUGGCUCAGGGGAGGUAGGAGGGUUAGCUGGUUCCCCAGAGCCUGUGUGGGUGAUGGGGGGGAGGGAACUGAGGCAGCAGACCAGAAGUGCUCCUGCACAUUCCCCUGCCUGCCUACCUUCUUUUGUCCCUCCUUCCUCUCCCUCCCUCCCAACAAUGCUUUCUGAGCACCCAGGAACCUGCUGGGUGCUGGGAGGACACGAUGGACCCUCGAGAAGGCUGCCCGAGGCUCCAGGCAGGCAGAGUGCAGACCCAGCAGCUGCAGCCUCGGCUGUGGGGAGCAACAAAGGCGCCUGAAACCAGGCCGCCCACAGGAUGUUGGAAACCACAGGGCCCGAGCUGGGGUCAGCCAGACAGGAAGCGACCUCAGCCCUUCCUAACUCAGCAACAGCGCAAGGCCCCUGCCUGCAGGCUCUUUCUUUGUAAGUGCCCUUGCCUGGGCCCAGGCUGGGGUGUGGCUCCCCUGUGACUGCCUUGAGGGGCUGUGCCCAAGCCAUGCCAGGUUGGGGCCACCAAAAGUGGGACAGGCCUGGAGGCCUGUUCAUAUUACAGUGAGGCAUAGACAGACCCGUUUUCUGAUUUAGUUGUUACCAGUGAAAGUUCUGCUGCCAGUCUUUUAUUCUCCCCCUUUAGAAAUGUUUUUAAUAUUGUUUUCAAAAUAGAGACUUGGCCUUACUAUGUUGCCCAGGCUGGUCUCAAACUCC